UAGCUUAUAAUUCUAGCGGUUUUUCGCAC
rnacentral:piRNA from 1 species